rnacentral:lncRNA from 1 species
CUGGGGCAUGCUUGGAGGUUGGCAGAGCCUUGCAGGAACUGACUCUGGAGAUUCUCAGAAGGAAAAGCAGGAGAGGGAGUUUCCAGAGAUUGGCGGGGAACUGAGGGGAGAUCCCUGUGACUGAAGCCUGCUUAGCAACAUGGGAAUCUCCUGCCAUCACAGGAUGCCAAAAGGGUGCGAGGCAAGAGAGACAAAAGAUCUUACAGCUGUUUCCUGUGGCCCACUUGAUGGUUGGUGGCACCUUGGCAUGUCCACCAGGUAGCACCUCAUGCUGAACAUCACAGCUGGCCCCAGGCAGGCCCUUCCCUUCCUCCUCACUCUGUCUACAUCACUGGAUCAGGGAAGCUGGCUUCAUUCAACCCUUCCUUCUGUAGGUCCUGAAAGGUGAGGUGAUGGCUGCUUCUCCACUCCCCACCCCUCUUUGUUGUGUAAGU